AGAUAACAUAGCUCCUAAAGAAUUUUUUCUAGAAGGUUUUCUGACCAACCAGAAAACCUAA
ensembl:snRNA Gm22836 predicted gene, 22836